CAGAAUAACCAUUGAAAAAAGACUAAUAUCAUGAUAUAACACUUAAAACAACAUAUAAAGCAGAGAUUGCAAAUGGUAGAUUUCCUUGUAUUCAGACUUAUAAUAGAUUGAUAAUAUUGCUGAUGGUACUUCAAGAGAAUAAUAUGAUUGCAGUAGCAGGACCUCGCAGGAAAGUACGGAGACAGUAAUUUUCUUGAAAAACCAACAUGGAACAACAGGCCGAGGGGACACCCAAACAUAUAAUAUAAAUUAUAAGAGAAUGAGAAAGAUCUGCCCCAAAAUUAUGAGCUGCUGCC
rnacentral:lncRNA from 1 species